rnacentral:rRNA from 1 species
CGGAUGAACGCUAGCGGGAGGCUUAACACAUGCAAGUCGAGGGGUAAAUGGUAGCAAUACUAUGAGACCGGCGGACGGGUGCGUAACGCGUAUGCAACAUACCUUGUGCAGGGGGAUAGCCCGUGGAAACGCGGAUUAAUAUUCCAUAGUCCAGCUAUAUCGCAUGGUAUAGUUGGUAAAGAUUUAUCGGCACAAGUUUGGCAUGCGUCUGAUUAGCUUGUUGGUAGGGUAACGGCCUACCAAGGCUACGAUCAGUAGGGGUUCUGAGAGGAUUAACCCCCACACUGGUACUGAGACACGGACCAGACUCCUACGGGAGGCAGCAGUGAGGAAUAUUGGUCAAUGGGCGGAAGCCUGAACCAGCCAUCCCGCGUGAAGGAAGACAGCCUUACGGGUUGUAAACUUCUUUUCUGUCAGAAGAAUAAGCUUGUCGAGACGAGUGAUGCCGGUAUGACAGGAAUAAGCAUCGGCUAACUCCGUG